rnacentral:lncRNA from 1 species
GAGGUUGAAACACAUCCUUGAUAAAACAAGUGGUGCCGGUGGUGCUGAGCCCGUCGCAGUCGUGUCAGCACCAAAAGUGGACCUUGGGGAAGGAAUCCUCCUUGAUGAGGCCACGCUGGCACGACUGCAGCGAGACGCAAAAAACUCAGGCUCAAGAUUUGCACGGGGCCUCCUGAAGGUUCUUUUCAGCCCAGAAGAGAUAGAGCAGAAGUCUCUAUUUGGGCGGCGUUCCAAUGCCCACAAGGAUGUCGCCCAAAAAGAGGCUUUGGACCCAAGGCGUGUGAACGCUAUUCUGAGCUACACAGCAAGGCACUUCAACACUGCAGAGAUCAAAAACAUGUAAUCGAUGCUUGCGUACAGGUUUUGAAAUGUGCUAAAUAAAUGUUAGUUUUCAAACAGA